CCUACGGGAGGCAGCAGUGGGGAAUAUUGGGCAAUGGGCGAAAGUCUGAACCAGCAACGUCGCGUGAAGGAUGACGGCUCUAGGGUUGUAAACUUCUUUUUACAGGGAAGUAGAAAGUGACGGUACCUGACGUUUAUGCCUACGCUAACUACGUGCCAGCAGCCGCGGUAAUCCGUAGGUGGCGAGCGUUCUCCGGAUUUGAUGGGUGUCAAGGGCGUGUAGGCGGUACUGCAAGGUAGAUGUGAAAACAACGGGCUCAACCGGUAGCCUGCAUUUGAAACUGGAGUUCUUGAGUACAGUAGAGGCAGACGGAAUUCGUGGUGUAGCGGUGAAAUGCUUAGAUAUCAGGAAGAACUCCGGUGGCGAAGGCAG
rnacentral:rRNA from 1 species